GAGAGAGGGUGCGCAGACGGCCAGCCGGGCCGCGCCAGGGACAUACUGGAGACAGGAAGUGGCUGAGAGGGGGAGAGAGUUGGAGAGAGACGGCCGCGGAGGACACGGGGACGGGAAAGUCUGAGAGACGGGGAGAGCCUGACCCGGCGGGACACAGGCAGAAAGAAACACGCGAGCCAGACAGACGCAGAAGAAACGUGCCUGGUACUGGAUAGGAACUUCAUGGAAUGGAGCUAAUGGGCCGUAGGGCAGGUUUGAGUCGUGCCACCCUGGAGCAGAAGGUGGAGGGUAGGGAUAAGGGGGUGGAGCACCUGAUUCCAAUCUUGCCACAGGGAAGAAGAGUCUGUGAAGAAGGUGGAGAGAAACUAGGAGAAAAGCACAGGAUGUAGAGGUCUAUUCGGCAUAAUCUUCUCCCUCAUUUUCAUCUUCACCAUCAACAGAGAGAGCAGCAUACUUGCUUGCAGAACUGAACUUCUGUAACACAACGAGAGUGACAGGAUAAUGAAGGCCCUGAAUUAUCACAUCAAAACCCAAGACACAGGAUACUGAUCCUUUGGCAAUGGGGGAUGACAGUCAGAUGACACCCACUUGCUUGCUCAUCAGCAUUGUCCAUUGGAGAGGAGCUAGGGAAGAGGGUCAGAGGCACAUGCGAUCUUACUAUAGUCUCAUACCACCUCUACACCUUGCAGAAGGGAUGAGAACAAAGGAAGACAGAAACCAGGAAAAAGCUAAACUUCUUUCGCUAUUUCAGUAAAGACCAAUGUCUUAUUUCCAAACACUUUGUAUUCCAAAUGGAAAGAAGUCCAACGGCAAAAAGUUUAGAAUACUAAGAAUUUUUAAUUCUUAGUAAGAAUACUUAGAAUUCUAAGAAUUUUUCUUAGAAUGAAAAAUUGGGAGCAGCCUUCAACACUUACGGAAGCUGGAUUUUCCUCAGGUUUCUUUGGCUCAGGUGCAGAUCUGGAGUCUUGAUCCUUUUUGCCAUCUUUCCUGCAGAGACGUAAGCAUAAAACCAUGUCUU
rnacentral:lncRNA from 1 species